rnacentral:rRNA from 1 species
GACGAACGCUGGCGGCGUGCUUAACACAUGCAAGUCGAACGGUGAAGCGCCUUCCUUUUUGGUGGGUGUGGAUGAGUGGCGAACGGGUGAGUAACACGUGAGUAACCUGCCCCCUUCUUCUGGAUAACCGCAUGAAAGUGUGGCUAAUACGGGAUAUUCUGGGUCUGUCGCAUGAUGGGUCUGGGAAAGAUAUUGUUUCGGUGGGGGAUGGGCUCGCGGCCUAUCAGCUUGUUGGUGGGGUGAUGGCCUACCAAGGCGGUGACGGGUAGCCGGCCUGAGAGGGUGGCCGGUCACACUGGGACUGAGACACGGCCCAGACUCCUACGGGAGGCAGCAGUGGGGAAUAUUGCACAAUGGGAGCAAGCCUGAUGCAGCGACGCCGCGUGAGGGAUGGAGGCCUUCGGGUUGUGAACCUCUUUCGCCAGUGAAGCAGGCCUGCCUCGUUUGUGGGUGGGUUGACGGUAGCUGGAUAAGAAGCGCCGGCUAACUACGUG